GCGGCGAAAGGGCCCUAAGGGUGAACUCGGUCUGGGCGAUGACGGAAUUGACUCUGACUGGAAGUCCAGAAUCACCAGAAGAUAACUCAAGGCAUAGUUCAGUUGUGACUUGCAAAAACUUAAGGUUUGAGACUUGGUGGCUCAGCAUCCUGUGUACCAUCAUAACCAUUAUCUUCUAUGAGGAAGGGAGAUACUAUUUUCCUACUCAAAGCCAAUUCACUGGUUUCACUACUGAAUACCAACCUCCACCCUGCCACCAUGAUCCUCAGAGGGUAAGACUCACUAUGGGGACUUGAGCAGUGGUCUCUCCAAUUCCAGAUGGGAUGUCAGUUAUCCAUGCUGAAUGAUCUAGAUCUCCACUUAUAAAUAUGAGCAGAUAAAAAAUAUCACUAAUCCUAAAGAGAAGAUCCACCAUUUGAAAGAAGAGGACCAAAUCAGAGCAGCUAUCACUCACUAAAAUGGAAUUAAUGCAGGAAAUAGGAGAAAACUUUUUUUUAAAAUCCUGUUCAUGUUCUUAACUGAAAUUUAAAG